UCGAGGGUGCUCGAAGACCGUACCAGAAGUGUUUUUGACAUGGACAUAUAGUAUACCGUUUUACUGUUCCAAAAUCAUGUAAAUGCACUAUCUGGUACGACACUUCGGCGCCAUUUCUCUC